rnacentral:lncRNA from 1 species
AUGUUUGUAGAGUCUGCCACUCAGGGACCUCCAGACAUAGGAAUUUGGGGAAGAGCGAGGCGAAGGAGUAGUGUCUUGUAUCCGUCAGCAUUGUCGAUCCAAGGCUUUCUUGUGAAUUCGUUUUUACCACAUUUGAAGUGUGAUGCCCAGAAUGGAACUCGGAGCUGCUGGCACCCGCAUCCAUCUUUGGAGGCUCUGGACAUAAUCAAUGGAACAGGCAGAAGGCCUGCAGCCCCAAGCCUGCUCGUCGGUGAGCCUGGAAUUGCUAUGCUCUUAGUAUCAUGUGUUCCAACUAUGAAUGCUUUCAGCAGCUUUUCCCACUGGCCACUUGGUCAUAUCCGUACCCAGACUGAACCAGUUCCUGACCCCAGGCUCUCCCCACCAUGCCCAUCCUACUGGGGUGCGGCUGCCUGUUGGGGCCACACCCUCCUGCCUGCAUAGCCCUAACUUUGGAGCCUGCGGGUCCUGCCUGAGCUGCUCUUGCCCUUUGGAAACCAAGGAUUGAGCAUUGUUCUCUGAGUGUAUUUUUGGUUAUGACUUUCUCUUUUCUCCACAGAAAGGCAUCUCUCUGCAGGUGUUGGGCUCUCUCUGAGCUCAGCGGCUGCUCUUGGCCUUCUUUCUCCAGUUCCUGUCCUCCUCUACCAGCCUUGAGACCGCAGUGUGGAGUUAUGUCCCCUCUGUUUUGUCUGGCUGCUUCUGUCUGGGACGAUGGAAUCCUCCUUAAAUGGGAAAUGUUUAUGGAGGAGGGAGAUGGGGAAGUCAUUCACUCCUGUUAACAUUUCAGCUCAAGUUAGCUUAUUCAUAUGAAUGACACAAAGUCAUAAAUUGCUCCUAAUCAAAUCUGUGCACACAGUAAAGCCUCUUUUAUGCAAUGAGUGUUUACUUAAUUGAAUGUUACAUAUAAACGAAGGUUACUCCUUCAAGGGACAAACAUGUAAGGGAUUUCAAUGGAAAAUUCUGAAAAUGAGCCCCUGAAGGAAGGAAGAUGGGAGGUGAAAGAUGCUGAAAGAGAACAGAAUGGGGCCAUGAUGCUCCAGGAGAGCACCGUGGGAAUCCCAGUUGCUCUUGCGUUUCACUUCCAAAGGCAAAACGAGGAUGAUGAAUUGCUUUCUGAGAAUCCAUUCCUCUUGCAGGGACUUUUGGCCAGAGACUUGUCCAUAAUGGGUUCUGUAUCAUGUCAGAGCCCUAAACCAUAAUUAAACACCAUUGCAUUUAUUAGAGUCCUCAUGGUGUUACCUUAGAUUCUUCCCUACAAGGGCAAACCCCCCAGUAUUGAUGUCAAUGCUCCAUCGGAUUCUCCUGGUGUUAGACGGAAACGUGAGGCUGGAUCUGCUAAGUAACCUUCCACUCCUGUGUAUCACAGAGGCCCUCUGUAAGCCCCACCCACAGGGGAGCCAGACCUCUGCACCACAGAUCACAUAGAGAGACUGAAAUGAAUGCUGACUCUCAGGAGGUGAUGAUAGGACUCAUUUUCUUGUCAUUUUUUUCAGAGCCCCAGAAGUUUGCAAUGAUAAAAACAAGAGCAUUUCAUGGGAAACAGCAUGCAAAAGCCCAUGCAUGCUGUCUAUUUUUAUAUAAAUCAGCAGAAGAUAAAGAGCUUGUCUUGAUUCAUGCUGUUCCUCCAGGGAAUGUUUUGAAAAAAGGCAAAAAAAUCAGUGAGAAGAGCGACGCCUAUAAAUACAGUCGGAAAGGAAAAUAAAAACAGCCCACUAAACGCUGAGUUUGACAAAAACCUAACAAAACCAAGGAACAUUUUUAUGUUUUUUCCUUUCAGUUUUACUUUUGAUCAUGUUUCUUCCUGAGGUUUUAUGAAUGCAUACAUCAAGUGGGAGAGACGAAGACCCCAAAUAAUUGUAGAAUGAUGAGAAUGUAGGAAAGAGAAUGUAGGCCCUUGUAUUCCAUGUUAUUUUUCUCAGAAAAAUAUACAGUUCAACAUUUCCCCUUCUGAUUUUCACUGGAAAGCAGUUUUCAUCUGAAAUGAAAUAAGUGAGGAUCAUGAGUUUGCCUGUAUGUCUUAUUUGAAGCCAGUGCCAUGUAGUGUCCUCACUUUCAAACCCGUGUCUCAAGUUUACCCUUCAAUUCCUAAAAGUCUGAAAUUUUAGAGGGACAAAGGAAAAUUAAGAAUUAAGCUAAAAAGAGUUAAAUUGUGGUUAACAAACAUUUCUGUAAAAGGGGCAGGAAGUAAAUAUUUUCUGCAUUGUGGGCCACAAUUCAACCCAGCUCUGCCAUCAUAGCACAAAAGCAGCAAGGGACAAGAUGCAAACAGAGGGUGUGGCUGUGCACAUAAUUUUCACCUGUC